GACGAACUGUGCGAACGUUAUUCGGAAUCACUGGGCUUACAGGGUGCGUAGGCGGCCACGUAAGUAGGGUGUGAAAUCCCCCGGCCCAACCGGGGAACUGCGCUCUAAACUACAUGGCUUGAGUGAGCUAGGGGUCCACGGAACUUCCAGUGGAGCGGUGAAAUGUGUUGAUAUUGGAAGGAACACCGGAGGCGAAAGCGGUGGACUGGGGCUUAACUGACGCUGAGGCACAAAAGCCAGGGGAGCGAACGGG
rnacentral:rRNA from 1 species